GAAUGUUGGCAUGAGCGUCCUGGUGAGGUCCGGCGUGGGCCCGCUGUGUGUCGCGGCACGCACGGUUAUUCCCUUUAUUUGGAGAGGGAAAUACUUCAGCUCCGGGAAUGAGCCUGCGGAAAAUAACCCAGUGACACCGAUGCUGCGGCAUCUUAUGUACAAAAUAAAGUCUACUGGCCCCAUCACUGUGGCCGAGUACAUGAAGGAGGUGUUGACCAACCCAGCCAAGGGCUAUUACGUGUACCAUGACAUGCUAGGAGAAAAAGGAGAUUUUAUUACUUCACCUGAAAUAAGUCAGAUCUUUGGGGAGUUACUAGGGAUAUGGUUCAUUAGUGAAUGGAUGGCCACUGGAAAAAGUAUAGCUUUCCAGCUGGUGGAACUGGGUCCAGGUAGGGGUACCCUCAUGGGAGAUAUUUUAAGGGUGUGCAGUCAGCUUGGAUCUGUACUGAAAAACUGUGACAUUUCAAUACAUCUAGUGGAGGUGAGCCAAAAAUUAAGUGAGAUUCAAGCGUCAACACUGACUGAAGAAAAGGUCCCAUUAGAGCGAAAUGCUGACUCCCCAGUAUAUAUGAAAGGUGUCACUAAGUCUGGGAUUCCAAUUUCCUGGUAUCGAGAUCUGCAAGACGUUCCAAAAGAGUACAGCUUCUAUCUUGCGCAUGAAUUUUUUGAUGUUCUUCCUGUGCAUAAGUUUCAGAAAACACCACAAGGGUGGAGAGAAGUAUUCAUUGAUGUUGAUCCACAAAUCCCUGAUAAACUGAGGUUUGUUUUGGCACCUUGUGUCACCCCAGCAACAGCUUUCAUACAACAUGAUGAAACAAGGGAUCAUGUUGAGGUGUGUCCUGAUGCUGGUGUUAUCAUUCAGGAGCUUUCUCAACGCAUUGCACUAACUGGGGGUGCUGCACUGAUUGCUGAUUACGGUCAUGAUGGAACAAAGACAGAUACCUUCAGAGAACAGCAGACCUAACAGCUGAUGUGGACUUCAGUUAUUUGCGAAGAAUGGCGAAGGGAAAAGUAGCCUCCCUCGGCCCAAUAAAACAGCAAACGUUUUUAAAAAAUAUGGGUAUUGAUGUUCGGCUCAAGGUUCUUUUAGAUAAAUCAGAUGAGCCAUCAGUAAGGCAGCAGUUACUUCAUGGGUAUGAUAUGUUAAUGAAUCCUAAGAAGAUGGGAGACAGAUUUAACUUUUUUGCUUUGCUACCUCAUCAGAGACUUCAUGGUGGAAUGCAUCAGAAGAAUACAUGUCAGUCAAAACCCUCUGCAUCCCCUGUGGCUGGGUUUAGUGAACUUGCUUGGCAGUGAUAUUUCAGCUUGGACUUUUUAUAUCUCAGUCUGCCUAAGAAAUCAAAAUAAAGGGGAUACAUCAGGUAACAUAAGUGUUAAAAGUAUUUUAUCUCUUCCCAGCCAGUUAAGAAAUACUCCAUAUUACAUAUAAUACAACCAAAAAUUAUAAAAUUUCUAGGAUUAUAACUGACUUUUGGUAUAAAUAUGUGUUCUCAACUUAAUGAAAUGAUUACGUUAUUAUGAAACUGAGUUUCCUUUAAUUUAUAAAGGUAGUUGCUGUAUAUCUAUUUUAUCUUAAGAAGUAAACACAAGCCCUGAUUAGUUAAAUAAAAACUACAAACUACUUACAUGGCUAUUUAUGGGUACUGAUAAAAUAGAUCUGUAUGUUAUAAAAUGAGAUAAAGCAGUAUGUUCUGACCCAGAUCUCUUAAGAUUCAGUAAGUGAAAAAAGUAGGAUGUGAUCCCGUUUUUGUUGUAAGGAAAAAAAUUACAUUUAAAUAAAUAUAAGUAAUUAAAAAAUUUUAAUCAUAAAGGUUAUAGUAAAAAACAGUAAUCCUGGCACAUGCUUGAAAUAUGAGAGUAAAUAUAGACUACCUAGGAGCAAUAAUUUUUAAAAUUGAGCUGAUUCUCCUGUAUUUUCAAAUAA